rnacentral:rRNA from 1 species
GGUAAGGCCCUUUCGGGGGUACACGAGUCGGCGAACGGGUGAGUAACACGUGGGUAACCUGCCUUUAGCUUCGGGAUAAGCCUGGGAAACUGGGUCUAAUACCGGAUAUGACCUUCCCUCGCAUGGGGGUUGGUGGAAAGUUUUUCGGCUAGAGAUGGACCCGCGGCCUAUCAGCUUGUUGGUGGGGUGAUGGCCUACCAAGGCGACGAGGGGUAGCCGGCCUGAGAGGGCGACCGGCCACACUGGGACUGAAAUACGGCCCAGACUCCUACGGCAGGCAGCAGUGGGGAAUAUUGCGCAAUGGGCGGAAGCCUGACGCAUCGACGCCGCGUGGGGGAUGACGGCCUUCGGGUUGUAAACCUCUUUCGACCGGGACGAACAAAAUUGACGGUACCGGUAUAAGAAACACCGGCCAACUCCGUGCCAGCAGCCGCGGUAGCACGUAGGGUGCGAGCGUUGUCCGGAAUUAUUGGGCGUAAAGAGCUCGUAUGCGGCGUGUCACGUCAGCCGUGAACACUUACAGCUUAACUGUGACCGUGCGGUCGAUACCGGCAUCACUUGACUUCGGCAGGGGAUACUGGAAUUGCUGGUGUAGCGGUGAAAUGCGCACAUAUCAGGAGGAACACCGGUCGCGAAGGCUGGUCUCUGCGGCGAUACUGACGCUCAUGAGCGAAAGCGUGCGGAGCGAACAGGAUUAGAUACCCUGGUACUCCACUCCGUAAACAGUGUGCGCUCAAUGUGGAGAUCAUUCAACGGUCUCUGUGCAGUACAUACGCAUUCACCGCCCGUCUGGAGAUACGGGCGGAUGCCUAAACGUCAAUGAACUGACGGCG